GGAGGAACUGGAAUCUAUUGAAAUAAUUAGUGUGAAAUUAAGACAAAUGUUGACUCAGAAAGUUUGUGGCCUUUGGUGUUUAUAUAGUCAGUGCUCAGAAUAAUAAAAAAUAAAGAGAGGAACUGAGGUGUUAGUAAACAAAAAAAGUAAAGAUUUCCCUAUCCAGUUGUAUCGGACUCUAGGGCAUGCUGCUCAUCUCUGUUUCUUGGCUGAGGAAGUCAGUGUUGUCCAAAGGCACUUUCCAUGGUCAUGUAGCCAGCAUGGCUAUAUGCCAAAGGUGCAUGGAAUGCUGUUUCCUUCCCACCGAAGUGGUACCUAUUUAUCUACUCACAUUUUCAGGCUUUCAAACAGCUAGGUUGGCAGGAGCUUGGGCAAGUAACAGAAGCUCAUCCCGUUGCACGGAGUUCAGGUCUCGAACAUGGACUGUUCAGCUGUUUAGCUGACAAGCACAGAGACUUUAAGCCCUGCACCAUCAGCAGCAGCCCCAGAAUUAAGUGGACACCCUACUUAUUCGGAGAAGCAGCCUACUUAUUUGUCUAACCAUCAUUCAAUAGUUCCCUCCAGUCAAUUGGGACUUCAAAGAUGCUACUACAAACCAUGGCACCUUUGGUAUUGUAGGGAGGGCCACAUCAGCUGGCGGAAAACAAAAUGGAAGUUGCUUUGGCAGUGUGAUAACUGGGCAACUUCAUAAGCCUUGGCAUCUUAAAAGCAUCCUUGACAAGAAAAUACACUGUACGGAAUUUGCUUUGGAGUGUCAAAACAUCUGCCAAAUGUUGCUUCGGUCCGGAUGAACAACAUUUGAUCCACAAUUUGUAUUAAAAAGUGAUGCGUAAAUAAGAAUAAGAACUUUAAAAAAAAAAAAAACACCCAAACCACCUUCUUGAAGAUUAUUGUGCUCAUGAGUAUUGAGGAAGCGUAAUGAAUGGAUAUUGGAAGGUCUAAAAGGAGCAACAAACAAAAUAGCAGGCCAGCAAGAAAUCACAAUAAAAAAUUAUUGGAUCAGUUUCAAGCUGGUUGUGAAGUCAAAAGGUCUCUGGCACUCACCUUCCAUGCUGGAUGUGUCAGGUCUAGAAGGCUUCUUGGGAGAUGCUGGUGGAGAAAGAGAGCUAACGGCGGAGAAGGGGGCAGUCAGCACUUCUGAGAGGAAGUCAAGUUUUAUUAUGACUUGACUAGAAACAUUUCUCAUUUUUUCCUAUAUGUCCUCUCGGGCCUGGUGACAGAAUUAAAGAUGUUCCAAUUAGAAGCAGGAAGCAGAGAUCCUGAGAUUGGCAUUCUAACUUCUGACCUGAUCGGUCUUUGCAAAGCUCUUGGGCAGCGACCUCCAUUUUCAUCACACUGCUCAAGACAGUUUUCCUAAGGACCUAUGACACAACGGUCUCCAUUUUUUUUUUUGUGAACGAUGCUGAAAUGCCUUACCACCAAGGCUGCCCAUUUGAAAGUCUGUUUAUAGACCGCGUUUUGCUUAUCCCUCUGUAAAAAAAAAGGUUAGCUUAGCAGUGCUGAAGGAGGCUAAAAGCCAGGUAAGUUAUCCGAAGUCAGUUUUCAAAAUUGCCCUCAGUUGAAUAACAAGGACAGGAUUUUUGCCUCCGUGGUGAGUUGGUAUGGUGGAUGAUCUUCAACUAAGCUCCAGAAAAAUCUUCUUUAAUCGUUUCUCUGCAAGAUCCACUUGCACAAAUAAAAUUGGAGGAGGAAAUAUUUCAUAUGAAC